GAUGAACGCUGGCGGCGUGCUUAACACAUGCAAGUCGAACGGAAAGGCCCCUUUGGGGGUCCUCGAGUGGCGAACGGGUGUGUAACACGUGCGUAACCUGCCCUUGACUUCGGGAUAACUUCAGGAAACUGGGGCUAAUACCGGAUAGGAAUCCUUGCUGCAUGGUGGGGGUUGGAAAGCUUCGGCGGUUUUGGAUGGACUCGCGGCUUAUCAGCUUGUUGGUGGGGUAGUGGCUUACCAAGGCUUUGACGGGUAGCCGGCCGGAGAGGGCGACCGGCCACAUUGGGACUGAGAUACGGCCCAGACUCCUACGGGAGGCAGCAGUGGGGAAUAUUGCACAAUGGGCGGAAGCCUGAUGCAGCAACGCCGCGUGCGGGAUGACGGCCUUCGGGUUGUAAACCGCUUUCAGCAGGGGCGAAGCUUGUGGUGACGGUACCUGCAGAAGAAGCACCGGCUAACUACGUG
rnacentral:rRNA from 1 species